CAGGUCUUGACAUCCCUCUGACGUACAGGUAAAGCUGUAUUACCUUCGGGACAGGGGAGACAGGUGGUGCAUGGUUGUCGUCAGCUCGUGUCGUGAGAUGUUGGGUUAAGUCCCGCAACGAGCGCAACCCCUGCCUUCAGUAGCCAGCAGGAGAGCUGGGCACUCUGGAGGGACUGCCCGGGACAACCGGGAGGAAGGCGGGGAUGACGUCAAAUCAUCAUGCCCCUUAUGAUCUGGGCUACACACGUGCUACAAUGGCGUAAACAGAGGGAAGCGAGAUAGAGAUAUGGAGCAAACCCCAAAAAUAACGUCUCAGUUCGGAUUGUAGUCUGCAACUCGACUACAUGAAGCUGGAAUCGCUAGUAAUCGCGGAUCAGAAUGCCGCGGUGAAUACGUUCCC
rnacentral:rRNA from 1 species